rnacentral:rRNA from 1 species
AGCGUACACGGUGGAUGCCCUGGCAGUCAGAGGCGAUGAAGGACGUGCUAAUCUGCGAUAAGCGUCGGUAAGGUGAUAUGAACCGUUAUAACCGGCGAUUUCCGAAUGGGGAAACCCAGUGUGUUUCGACACACUAUCAUUAACUGAAUCCAUAGGUUAAUGAGGCGAACCGGGGGAACUGAAACAUCUAAGUACCCCGAGGAAAAGAAAUCAACCGAGAUUCCCCCAGUAGCGGCGAGCGAACGGGGAGCAGCCCAGAGCCUGAAUCAGUGUGUGUGUUAGUGGAAGCGUCUGGAAAGGCGCGCGAUACAGGGUGACAGCCCCGUACACAAAAAUGCACAUGCUGUGAGCUCGAUGAGUAGGGCGGGACACGUGGUAUCCUGUCUGAAUAUGGGGGGACCAUCCUCCAAGGCUAAAUACUCCUGACUGACCGAUAGUGAACCAGUACCGUGAGGGAAAGGCGAAAAGAACCCCGGCGAGGGGAGUGAAAAAGAACCUGAAACCGUGUACGUACAAGCAGUGGGAGCACGCUUAGGCGUGUGACUGCGUACCUUUUGUAUAAUGGGUCAGCGACUUAUAUUCUGUAGCAAGGUUAACCGAAUAGGGGAGCCGAAGGGAAACCGAGUCUUAACUGGGCGUUAAGUUGCAGGGUAUAGACCCGAAACCCGGUGAUCUAGCCAUGGGCAGGUUGAAGGUUGGGUAACACUAACUGGAGGACCGAACCGACUAAUGUUGAAAAAUUAGCGGAUGACUUGUGGCUGGGGGUGAAAGGCCAAUCAAACCGGGAGAUAGCUGGUUCUCCCCGAAAGCUAUUUAGGUAGCGCCUCGUGAAUUCAUCUCCGGGGGUAGAGCACUGUUUCGGCAAGGGGGUCAUCCCGACUUACCAACCCGAUGCAAACUGCGAAUACCGGAGAAUGUUAUCACGGGAGACACACGGCGGGUGCUAACGUCCGUCGUGAAGAGGGAAACAACCCAGACCGCCAGCUAAGGUCCCAAAGUCAUGGUUAAGUGGGAAACGAUGUGGGAAGGCCCAGACAGCCAGGAUGUUGGCUUAGAAGCAGCCAUCAUUUAAAGAAAGCGUAAUAGCUCACUGGUCGAGUCGGCCUGCGCGGAAGAUGUAACGGGGCUAAACCAUGCACCGAAGCUGCGGCAGCGACGCUGAUGCGUUGUUGGGUAGGGGAGCGUUCUGUAAGCCUGCGAAGGUGUGCUGUGAGGCAUGCUGGAGGUAUCAGAAGUGCGAAUGCUGACAUAAGUAACGAUAAAGCGGGUGAAAAGCCCGCUCGCCGGAAGACCAAGGGUUCCUGUCCAACGUUAAUCGGGGCAGGGUGAGUCGACCCCUAAGGCGAGGCCGAAAGGCGUAGUCGAUGGGAAACAGGUUAAUAUUCCUGUACUUGGUGUUACUGCGAAGGGGGGACGGAGAAGGCUAUGUUGGCCGGGCGACGGUUGUCCCGGUUUAAGCGUGUAGGCUGGUUUUCCAGGCAAAUCCGGAAAAUCAAGGCUGAGGCGUGAUGACGAGGCACUACGGUGCUGAAGCAACAAAUGCCCUGCUUCCAGGAAAAGCCUCUAAGCAUCAGGUAACAUCAAAUCGUACCCCAAACCGACACAGGUGGUCAGGUAGAGAAUACCAAGGCGCUUGAGAGAACUCGGGUGAAGGAACUAGGCAAAAUGGUGCCGUAACUUCGGGAGAAGGCACGCUGAUAUGUAGGUGAAGUCCCUUGCGGAUGGAGCUGAAAUCAGUCGAAGAUACCAGCUGGCUGCAACUGUUUAUUAAAAACACAGCACUGUGCAAACACGAAAGUGGACGUAUACGGUGUGACGCCUGCCCGGUGCCGGAAGGUUAAUUGAUGGGGUCAGCGCAAGCGAAGCUCUUGAUCGAAGCCCCGGUAAACGGCGGCCGUAACUAUAACGGUCCUAAGGUAGCGAAAUUCCUUGUCGGGUAAGUUCCGACCUGCACGAAUGGCGUAAUGAUGGCCAGGCUGUCUCCACCCGAGACUCAGUGAAAUUGAACUCGCUGUGAAGAUGCAGUGUACCCGCGGCAAGACGGAAAGACCCCGUGAACCUUUACUAUAGCUUGACACUGAACAUUGAGCCUUGAUGUGUAGGAUAGGUGGGAGGCUUAGAAGUGUGGACGCCAGUCUGCAUGGAGCCGACCUUGAAAUACCACCCUUUAAUGUUUGAUGUUCUAACGUUGACCCGUAAUCCGGGUUGCGGACAGUGUCUGGUGGGUAGUUUGACUGGGGCGGUCUCCUCCUAAAGAGUAACGGAGGAGCACGAAGGUUGGCUAAUCCUGGUCGGACAUCAGGAGGUUAGUGCAAUGGCAUAAGCCAGCUUGACUGCGAGCGUGACGGCGCGAGCAGGUGCGAAAGCAGGUCAUAGUGAUCCGGUGGUUCUGAAUGGAAGGGCCAUCGCUCAACGGAUAAAAGGUACUCCGGGGAUAACAGGCUGAUACCGCCCAAGAGUUCAUAUCGACGGCGGUGUUUGGCACCUCGAUGUCGGCUCAUCACAUCCUGGGGCUGAAGUAGGUCCCAAGGGUAUGGCUGUUCGCCAUUUAAAGUGGUACGCGAGCUGGGUUUAGAACGUCGUGAGACAGUUCGGUCCCUAUCUGCCGUGGGCGCUGGAGAACUGAGGGGGGCUGCUCCUAGUACGAGAGGACCGGAGUGGACGCAUCACUGGUGUUCGGGUUGUCAUGCCAAUGGCACUGCCCGGUAGCUAAAUGCGGAAGAGAUAAGUGCUGAAAGCAUCUAAGCACGAAACUUGCCCCGAGAUGAGUUCU